AGGCUCAUGAGCAAAUAUAUAAUCAAUUAUAUAUACCCAUAUUUCUUUUCAUCCUGUUUCUUUUUUCCUGAUGCUCCAAGUUUCUUUUUUUUUAUCAUUACUUUUCUGUUUAAAGAACUUUCUUUAGCCAUCUUUCUAACAAUAGGUCUAAUAAACAGAGAGCAGAAUGAUGGUUACUAGGGGCUUGAGGGGGAGGAGGAUGGGGAGAUGCUAGUCAAAGGUUAUAAGCCUUCAUUUAAAGUACAGUGUGGUGGCUAUAGUUAAUAAUACUAUCUUGUGUACUUAAAAUUUCCUUAGAGAGUAGACAUUAAGCAUUCUCACCACACAUACAGAAAAAGGAACUUUGUAAGGCAAUGGAUGUAUUAAUUAGCCUGAUUAUAGUAAUCAUUUCAUAAAGUAUAUGAAGGUCAAAUCAUUACAUUGUAUAUCUUAAAUGUAAAGAAUUUUAUUUGCCAAUUAUACCUCAAAACUGAUACUAAGAAAGAAUAGAUCUAUUAGUGACAAAUUCUUUGUAUUCUCUCUCACAUGGGAAUAUUUCUGUAUUUCCUUAAUUUAUAAAAGUGGUGGACACUUCUUUCCUUUCAGCGUUUAAAGUAAUUUUUGUAGCUUCCUUCUGGCCUCCAUGGUAUCACAUGAGAAAUAUGCUGUCAUUUGAAUUUGUGUUUUCCUAUAGUUCAUGUGUUGUUUCUCUCUGGCUGCUUUAAAAAUUAUUUUCUUUGAUUUUAGUUUUCAGAAUUUUAAUUGUGCUGUUUCUUGGCAGGGAUUUCUUUGAAUGCAUUCUAUUUGAUAUUUACUUAACUUUAUGAACUUGUAAGUUCUUGUUUUCCAUCAAAUUAGGGAAAUUUUAAGCUGUUAUUUAUGUGAAUAUUCCUUUAGUCCUACCCUCUCCUCUCCUUCUGGCACUGUGAUGAUACAAAUUUUGUUUCACAGAUCACUGAGGCUCUAUUCCUUUUUUCUCUCUAUUAUUUAGAUUGGGUAAAUUCCAUUGAUCUGUCAUUCCUACCUACUGAGCCUAUCUAGUGAGUUUUCUUAUAUCUGUUAUUUGGCCACUAUUUGUAAUAACUAAGAUAAAUAAAAAUUUCAAGUUGUGAUGUUUUAUCUAUUCUUUUCUAGUUAUUGCACUAUUUCUAUUUUGUUGUCAUGUCAGCUAGGACCAUCAUUAAAAUGCUUAAUAAUAGAAGUCAUGAUAUCUUUUUAUUUUGCUCUUUUUUUUUUAGGGCUGAACCCAUGCCAUAUGGAGGUUCCCAGGCUAGGGGUCUAAUCGGAGCUACAGCUACCAGCCUACACCACAGCCACAGUAAUGCCAGAUCCAAGCCAUGUCUGUGACCUACACCAAGCUCAUGGCAAUGCCAGAUCCUUAACCCACUGAGCAAGGCCAGGGAUCAAACCUGCCUUCUCAUGGAUCCUAGUCAGAUUCAUUUCCACUGAGCCAUGAUGGGAACUCCAGAAAAAUAUGAUAUUUUUCAUGUAGCUUUUCUUCUCCUUUUCUUUCUUUCUUUUUUUUUUUUUGUAGUCAUCUUUGGUUAAGGAAGUUUUUCCUUUAUCUUGCUAGAAAUUUUUAUAUUGAUGAUGCAUUAAAUUUCAUCAAGUCCUUUUUUACAUCAGUGAGAUGUUAAUGUUUUUCCUUCAAAUCUUUUAAAUAAGCAAAUUACAAAGACAGACUAUCAAAUCUAUGUGCCAUCCUAAUAUAUAUCUGACUUAUUUCUACUUUAUUAUUUCAAAUCCUCCUUGAAUUCAAUUUUCUCAUAUUUUAUUAGGAUUUUCCUUUUAUGCUUAUACCUGAGUUUGAUUACUAAUUGUAUAUAGUGCACUUCUUGUCCAGUUUGGCAUCAAGUUUAUGCUAACCAUUGGAAAGGAUUUUAUAGGAAUUCCUGCUGUUGUGCAGUAGGUUAGGAAUCCUGCAUUGUCUCUGUGGCAGCAUGGGUUCUAUCCCCAGCUUGGUGCAGUGGGUUAAGGAUCCAGCAUUGCCACAUUUAUAAUAUUCUCUGUGUUCUAAAUUUCUGGAACAAUGUGCCUAAGAUGAAAGUUACAUGUUUCUUAAAGUUUUUGUUUAAUACCCCAUAGAAGGUCAUAAAAUGGUAGUAAAAAACACCCCCUAGAAGGAUAUGAAAUAGUAGUGAAAUAUAAUUUUCAAAGAUUUGUUUUCUUUAGAGUUUAUUGGUCUAUUCAACUUUUCUACUUUUUAUUUGGAAAUUUUUGUGUACCUUUAUAUUUCUAAAUUAUUAUCUACUUUAUGAGUGCAAAUAUUUUUGCAUAAAUAUGUACAUAGUCUACUGAUGUGGUAAUCAUCUGAUGUUUUUGUAUUUUACCUUUCCAAUUUUGAUUAUACUUAUCGAGGUUUGUGUUUUUAAUUAGUUUUCUGAAACAACUUUAUUUUAUAAAUAAGUUCUACUGCUUUUUUAUCUUCUCAUUUUCAGCUUUUACAUUUAUUAAUUAAUUUAGAUUGAUUUUUUUUUCAUUUUGCAGUUCCCUUUCUGGUUUUAUAUUUCAAUACUUAAAUUGUUUGUUUUACUCUCCCAUAUUCAGGUACAUUUCCUUCUUCUUAUUACAUUGGCUAUACCUCACACAUAGUGUUUUUGUUAUCAUUUACUUCUAAAUUUUUUUUUAAUUUCUUAUUCAAUUUCUCUUUAAUCAAGGUUAUUUUGUAGCUGUCUUUCUUCUUCUUAAUUUCUAAAUUGUACGGAAUUUAGACAGCACCCUUUAAAAAUUAUUUCUCAAUCUAUUGAAUUUUAGUGUGUGGAUAUGGUUGGUACAAUGUGAUUAUUUUUAAUUAGUUAAGACAUUUUUUGUCAAAUUCUGCAAAUAUUCCAAAUAUGUUUUUGCUCUACCUCUAAAUAAAGAUUAUGCUUUUUUCCCCAGUUUGUUGGUUAAUUUGGUUAUUGAAAUCCUCUAUAAACCUUCUUAUUUGAUUUACUGGUUUCUGAGAAAGAUUUGCUUAAAUCUCCUAUUAUUGCAUGUUUUUCAAAUUCUCCCUUGAGACUUAGUCAACAUGUGCUUACUUUAACAAAAAUAUGUUGGGAUAUGUAAGCUAAUGUUCAUGACUUUUAUAGGUUAUAGUUGAUUUUUCUUUAACAAUACAUACUUUCUUACUUUGCCCCACUUAAUGCUUUCUGUAAUGAAACCUGUUUUACCUACACCUGCUUUUAUUUUAACAUUUACUUCAUGUAAAAUUUUUAUUCAUUUAUUUAUCACCUUUUCUGCCAUCUUACUAAGGUGCCACUCUUAUUAGCAGUCAUCCUUAGACUUUUAAAAAAUCCAAUUUGAGGAUCUCUAUCUGACAGUAGAUAAUUUUAAUCAAUUAAAGUUUAUGUGAAUUCUGAUAGAUUCAGCUUUAUUCCUGCCAUCUUAUUUUGUGUUUUCUCUUUCAUUAUUUUAUUCUAUUCCUAUUUUAUGUUGGAUGAUCAAAUUUAUGUUUGACUUUCCUAUUAUUUGUUUAGAAACUGAAUUCAUAACUCUAAUUCUUUGAGUAUCCACAUAUUAGCAUACUCUUAAUAAAUAUCUAAAAAUAGCAUUAGUCUUUUGCAUUUUCUCUCUCCUUCCUUCAGUGGUCCUACUUAUUUGUAUCAGUUACUCCUUUUUAUCUGCAAUUUCAGGUCUUUCUUCAUUUUAAAUUUUAAAUAUUCUUUUACAUAUUUCAGGUCUCUUAUUUUGGUACAUAGUUAUCUGGUUUUUUCCUUAAUCCAUCUUCUAUGUUAUCACCUCUCUUAUCAUUUUAUUGCCUUUAUUUUUUCCUUGUUCUUCUAUGUAAUCUUAGAAAGCUAUUUUAGGUACUCUACACAUAACUAAUUUAUGUUGUAAUAAUCAUCCGUGCUUGUAAUGCUUUUUUGAAAUAUGUUACAGUAUUCAUUUCCCUCUACACUUUUUUUCAUUAUACUACCUAUAUCUUUUAUCUCUAUUUUAUUUCAUCAGCAUAGCUUUCAUCUCCUCUCUAGAUUUCAGUUUAUUUCUGUGAACAUAGUGCAGAUGCUGGCUAAAAUUUCCUCUUAUUCUUGCAAUCAUUUUAACAAACUAUAUCCUCUGUAUCUCUUUAGUGUUACCUUUAUUUCUUAUUCUGAAAAAUCUUUUGGCCCACUUGUUAGUUCUUUCUGUUGCAAACUUGAAUGUUGCCUGAUAUUUGUCCAAAGUGUGGAUGGAUUCUCCUUAGAUUCCUUCAUUAGUCUCUAGGAUACUCAUAAAAUCUUUUGUUCACAACUUUAAUUUGAAAGUUGAUUAAAAUAAGUUUUUUUAAUCUGUUUGGUGAUUCAGUAACCUGAAGGUAAUGGUAAGAUGCUAUUGUAUUGAGCAGCCCUGGUAUAUAGUAAUUUUAUUUUUUCAUAGAUUUUAUUUCAAGAAUCAACUUUCUGCAUUUAGUUUUUCAUUAGCCUGACUUCCACUUCAGACACAUAAUUCAUUGUCCAUUUUUAUUCUUGGUGCUGGUGCCCACAAUGCCAGAGAAAACCCUGAUAUAUUAAGAAAUGAUUUUAAAGUCCUAAAUAAAUGAAGAGAUUUACCUCGUUCAUGGAUCUGAAGAUUCACUGUUGUGGAGAUAUUGACAAUUCCCAAAGUGAUUCAUAGAGUCAAAUUAAUGCCAGUCAAAAUCUCAGCAGGAGCUUUGCUUAUAAAUUGAAAACUCAUUCUACAAUUCAUAUGGAAAAGUAAAGUUACUAGAAUAGCUAAUAAAAUAAUUCUGAACAAUACCUUAUUACAAGAUUUACAAUAAAUCUAAUGUAAUCAAAACAAAAUGAUACUGACAAAGAGACACACAUAUCAAUGAACAAAAUAGAGAAAUCAGAAAUAGACACACAGGUAUGUUCCCGUCGUGGCGCAGUGGUUAACGAAUCCGACUAGGAACCAUGAGGUUGCGGGUUCGAUCCCUACCCUUGCUCAGUGGGUUAAUGAUCCGGCGUUGCCGUGAGCUGUGGUGUAGGUUGUAGACGCGGCUUGGAUCCCACGUUGCUGUGGCUCUGGCGUAGGCUGGUGGCUACAGCUCCGAUUGGACCCCUAGCCUGGGAACCUCCAUGUGCGACAGGAGCGGCCCAAGAAAU
rnacentral:lncRNA from 1 species